ACUGGCGGCGUGCCUAUCAUGCACCUCGAGCGAAUGGAUUAAGAGCUUGCUCUUAUGAAGUUAGCGGCGGACGGGUGAGUAACACGUGGGUAACCUGCCCAUAAGACUGGGAUAACUCCGGGAAACCGGGGCUAAUACCGGAUAACAUUUUGAACUGCAUGGUUCGAAAUUGAAAGGCGGCUUCGGCUGUCACUUAUGGAUGGACCCGCGUCGCAUUAGCUAGUUGGUGAGGUAACGGCUCACCAAGGCAACGAUGCGUAGCCGACCUGAGAGGGUGAUCGGCCACACUGGGACUGAGACACGGCCCAGACUCCUACGGGAGGCAGCAGUAGGGAAUCUUCCGCAAUGGACGAAAGUCUGACGGAGCAACGCCGCGUGAGUGAUGAAGGCUUUCGGGUCGUAAAACUCUGUUGUUAGGGAAGAACAAGUGCUAGUUGAAUAAGCUGGCACCUUGACGGUACCUAACCAGAAAGCCACGGCUAACUACGUGCCAGCAGCCGCGGUAAUACGUAGGUGGCAAGCGUUAUCCGGAAUUAUUGGGCGUAAAGCGCGCGCAGGUGGUUUCUUAAGUCUGAUGUGAAAGCCCACGGCUCAACCGUGGAGGGUCAUUGGAAACUGGGAGACUUGAGUGCAAAAAAGGAAAGUGGAAUUCCAUGUGUAGCGGUGAAAUGCGUAAAGAUAUGGAGGAACACCAGUGGCGAAGGCGACUUUCUGGUCUGUAACUGACACUGAGGCCCGAAAGCGUGGGGACAACAG
rnacentral:rRNA from 1 species